ACUCCCGUAGUUAAAUGGAUAUAACGGAGCUCUCCUAAAGCUUUGUUGGCGGUUCGAUUCCGCCCGGGAGUACCA
rnacentral:tRNA from 1 species